ACUGCUGGUGUUAAACUGUAAAGAUCUGAUGGGAUUCUAUAGAAUGUUGUUACUGCUGGUGCUAAACUGUAAAGAUCUGAUGAGAUUCUAUAGAAUGUUGUUACUGUUAAACUGUAAAGAUCUGAUGGGAUUCUAUAGAAUGUUGUUACUGCUGGUGUUAAACUGUAAAGAUCUGAUGAGAUUCUAUAGAAUGUUGCUACUGCUGGUGCUAAACUGUAAAGAUCUGAUGAGAUUCUGCGAAACCAACUCGUUUUGAAUUACAAUUUUAAAGGGAAAGUUAGAGUAAUGUGCAAACAUAAUUGAGAAUUCUGUUUUAUUUGAGCAAUGUGUGUGUGUGUGUGUGUGUGUGUGUGUGUGUGUGUGUGUG
rnacentral:lncRNA from 1 species